rnacentral:rRNA from 1 species
AUGAUGCGUUGUCUUGUUGGAGUCAUGCAGCCCUUUGACAAAAUGUCUGCACCGGCAUCCAGUUCCAAGAGGUCGCACGGACCAGCAGCGCACAGUGCUGACAGACUCAGCAGCCUUCCUGACCCGCUGCUCCAUCUCGUGAUGUCCUUCCUGCCGAUGCGAGAAGUCGUGCGCACAAGCUUGCUCUCGCCAAGGUGGCGCGAUCUCUGGGCCUCCGUGCCCUUCAUCCACCUAGAUUUCAAGGAAUUUGUGGAUGCUACUGCUGAUUCUUUUGUUAUUGGUGUUGAUGAUCAUGAUUGGUUGAAGCUGGAUGAGAAUAGGCUGCAGAAGUUUGGGGACCACUUGCUACUCUUGCGUGAUGGCGCGGUGCCCUUGGAUGAGGCUCGGAUCUUUAUUGGAGGUGCUGAUUUGUCUGACAAAUAUGAUUUGUGGAUUCAUCAUGCCAUCAAGCAUAAAGCUCGGCUGCUUCAUGUUUAUGCUCAUCGCUUCCUCCGAGUAGAAUUCAAUGAUAGAUCGAUGAUUCGUUCUCAGCACCUGAAAAUAAUCAGGCUCCAAGAAGUCACUUUGACUGACACAUCCCUUAGGCCACUGAAUUUUUAUUUCCCUGUGCUUGAACAUCUAGAGCUGGACUGUUGCAUUGUCAACUGUGUGAAGAAUAAGAUCUCAUCGAGGUCACUGCAGACUAUACGUAUAACCUGCUGCGAAGUCUUCGGAGAUCUUGAGAUUUGUGCUCCGAAUCUGAACCAUCUGUACAUCCUCGACCCAGUUUUUGGAGGGCAUGCUAUAGUAACAAGGGAUCUGUAUUCUCUAGUUACAGCUUCAAUAAGUCUAAGUGCCUUGGAGCUGUAUCAUGGUAUACUUGACGGCCUCUCACGUGUCACAACCUUGGAGCUACAUGCACCAUUACUUGAGAAGCCCACGCGAGAGAGGUGUUUGGAAACAUGCCCGGUGUUCAGCAACCUCAUAAGCCUGGUGCUUGGCGAAUGGUGCAUGGCCUCCAACUUCUCUCCUAAACUGAAGUAUCUGACCUUUAAGCUCAGAAUGGACCAGCUUCGACCAUGCAAGGCUGCUGAGCGUGAUCGGUCACCAAGAGGGGACUCGUCGUUGGGCGGCUAUCCUAGCAUCGAGAGGACCAUGAUCUACUGCGGCAAAGAUGAUCCAAGAGUCAGCGCGUUGGUGAAGGUGCUGCUACCGAUUGUCAUCCCAGGCGGGGAAAUCAGCAUCAAAGGUCACUAG